rnacentral:lncRNA from 1 species
AAAAGAACCUGGAACAAUGUCUAGCACAUAGUAAAACUAUACGUAUUAAUUACAAUUAUAAUAUAAGAAUCAAUGGUGUAUUCUGGGGGUAAGGAAAAGGAAAUGGCUAAUUUAGUCUGCGGAUGGAGAAGAACCUUGGAAGAGCUGGACCUGGCAGAUCAAGGGUGAGAGACGGGUAUUGAAUCGUAUUUAAGGGACUUUACAGUCUGUGCCGCUUUUUAUAGGGUGUGGUCUUUAUGAAUCCUGGUCUGGAUGAAUCCUUUAGCAUGAACUCAUCAUUCAGAGGAUGACUCCAUCACAAGUGAGUAUUUAUGCCUGCUGGGGUCUUAUAUAAUGUGAAAAUUAAUAAACAGAAACUUAAUUUAAAAUGGAGUCAGGAGACCAGAAGGGGGAGCUCUCACACCCUGCAAUGAUAGCAGAGCCCAAAAGGAAGAAGAAUGACUUCCUAUUUUUGCCUGGCAAGAGCUCAGCCAAUGAGAGACUGUCACAACUCAGUCAAUGAAAAGGCACUAUACCUCCAACUCUCGAUUCUUCCAAUGGACUCCUUUUGAUAUCGUUGAGGCAGAACAUUUACCUAUGGCUACUUUGGCCCAACUGGCUGAAUUAUAUAUACAGUCUUACAUCAGCUUGUACUUUAGCCAAGAGCAAAACUGCCAACAUUUAUACUGAUGGUAGAUAUGCUUUCAGAGUAGCUCAUGAUUUUGAAAUGUUGUGGAAGCAAUGUGGCUUCCUUACUUCCGGUGGAAAUGAAAUUAAAAUGGCCUCUAUGUUCAGGAAUCAUUGGAUGCUAUCCAUUUACUGCUCCUUUAGCUAUUAAGAUCCUGAGGCAUUCUAAACUUCACUCUCCAGAAGCUAAGGGAAAUCACCUUGCUGAUACUUCAGCAAAUCAUGCUGCCCUUAAAGGAACCAAGAGCAACCAAACCUCUGUCAUGGUCCAAACAGAUAUUUUCCCAAACGAUAACUUAGAAAAGCUGGCUAGAGAAGUCCAACAAUUAGCCUCAGAAAAGAAAAGACAAGAGUGGAAAUUCAAGAAUUGUUGAUUUGACAAAAAGGGAAAGCUCUGGUUCAGACCAAAUAACAACCCAGUCCUACUGGAGACUCCAAAAUUCCCACUCCUAACCACUGUACAUGCAUUUAACCAUUGGUCUGCUAACAAAAUGAUAACAUUCAGGAAUCAGUAUUGGUGGGGAAAUACUAACAAAGCUACAAAAAGGCCUACUUCAUUUGUCCUACUUGUCCAAAAUGUAAUCCAUGGAAGCCUGUUUGUGCUGCUCCUGGACAUUUUAACAGCCUAAUGGACCAUUUGAGAUUUGGUAAAUGGAUUUCAUACAACUUCCUUCAUCUCAUGGAUAUAAAUAUGUUUUAGCCAUGGUCUGUAUGUUUUCUCAGGGACUGAAGCCUUCCCUUACAGACAGGCUGCUGCCUCUUCUGUGGCUAGAGUCCUUUUGGAAAAGAUUAUCCCUACCUGGGGAACUCCUCUCAAACUUCAUAGUAACCGAGGAAACCAUUUUACUGGUCAGGGAAUAGACUCUUGGAUUCAUGUGACACACCUAAAGAAAUUACCAAAUCCUGAUUGGGCCUGAACAUCACCUGAUGACCUAAAAGCCAAGAUUUCCCGGAAUUGAAGCAGAUGAUAUCUGAUGAGACAGCUUUCCCAAGAUGUCCAUACCAGCUCUGUUGGAAGUUUGUCUGCAAAGCCUUUGAUGAUGACAUGAUGCUUUAGAUGAUCUCCAAUGCCUGUGACCUUGAUAACACAUGGACUUUAUUUAAAAAACGUGCCUGAGAGUUCUCCAUCCUACCACUUAACUCAAAUGUGACCUCAAUAGGUUUCCAAUCUGUGCGCUUUUCCUCCAACGUGGGACACUAGAUUCAGGAAAAGUCCUUCCUGGUAUCAAGGGACAAAAGGCCAAUAAAACGGGAAAAACCUGACUUUUGAUCAGUGAUACUUUCA